rnacentral:misc_RNA from 1 species
GCUUUCCCCGUUACAGGCUCACCUACACGCCCCUCUACAGCCCUCUUAAACUAUCCGACACCCUUUUCGUGUGCACCCCGCCACCCCCACCCCCAGCGCCCGCGCACGCUUGACUCGACUCGCUUAUCCCCAUAGUCGCGCUCUACCCAUUCCUUCACUACCCCCUCCCCCUCUAAACACUUAUCUCCCCCGCUUGUAAACCAUGGGAGCCUACUGCACGAAGGACUCCGCAAAGGAGCCCCAGAAGCGUGCUGAUAACAUCCAUAAAACCACUGAGGCCAAUCACGGAGGCGCCACUGGUGUGCCCCCGAAGCACACCGGCAGUGCGAUGAACGACUCUGCCCCGAAGGAGGACGGCCAUACACAGAAAAAUGACGGCGAUGGCCCUAAGGAGGACGGCCAUACACAGAAAAAUGACGGCGAUGGCCCGAAGGAGGACGGCCAUACACAGAAAAAUGACGGCGAUGGCCCUAAGGAGGACGGCCAUACACAGAAAAAUGACGGCGAUGGCCCUAAGGAGGACGGCCAUACACAGAAAAAUGACGGCGAUGCCCCUAAGGAGGACGGCCGUACACAGAAAAAUGACGGCGAUGGCCCUAAGGAGGACGGCCAUACACAGAAAAAUGACGGCGAUGGCCCUAAGGAGGACGGCCAUACACAGAAAAAUGACGGCGAUGGCCCUAAGGAGGACGGCCGUACACAGAAAAAUGACGGCGUGGCCCUAAGGAGGACGGCCAUACACAGAAAAAUGACGGCGAUGGCCCUAAGGAGGACGGCCAUACACAGAAAAAUGACGGCGAUGGCCCUAAGGAGGACGGCCAUACACAGAAAAAUGACGGCGAUGCCCCUAAGGAGGACGGCCGUACACAGAAAAAUGACGGCGAUGGCCCUAAGGAGGACGGCCAUACACAGAAAAAUGACGGCGAUGGCCCUAAGGAGGACGGCCAUACACAGAAAAAUGACGGCGAUGCCCCUAAGGAGGACGGCCGUACACAGAAAAAUGACGGCGAUGGCCCUAAGGAGGACGGCCAUACACAGAAAAAUGACGGCGAUGGCCCUAAGGAGGACGGCCGUACACAGAAAAAUGACGGCGAUGGCCCUAAGGAGGACGGCCAUACACAGAAAAAUGACGGCGAUGGCCCUAAGGAGGACGGCCGUACACAGAAAAAUGACGGCGAUGCCCCUAAGGAGGGUGAGAAUCUGCAGCAAAACGAUGGGGAUGCGCAGGAGAAGAACGAAGAUGGACACAACGUGGGGGAUGGAGCUAACGGCAAUGAGGAUGGUAACGAUGAUCAGCCGAAGGAGCAGGUUGCCGGCAACUAGUGCACUGCGUCCGGGCUUGUGUGCGAGCUGUGCUCUGCACCCCGCCGUUCGUGCAUCCUCGCAUGUGGACCGCGUGUGUGUCUCCCGCUUUAUCUCUCUUCCCCGCACAGUGGCUGAUGCCUGCACGGGGUCGCUGUGGCUGCACCUGCUGACCACUGCCAGCGUUCUCGGCUCGCCCUCCUCUCUCCGCCUCCGAGUGUGCGGUACGGGCUGGCCUGGGCGCGCCGCGGAUGUCGUCGGUGCGUGCGGGGUCAUCGCCGAGAGUUUGGCACCUGGGCUGCUGCUACGCAACUGUGGCCAGGCCAGGCCCUGCCUCUGUGUGUGCUGUGAUCGCCGGCUCUAGCUUCACGCUCGCUGCCCCUGCGUGGACGGUCUUUGUUUCUUGUUUCUUUUCGAUUGCCUCUGCACACGCGCAUAUCCUCCUCCCUGCCCACCCCUCCACCUCUACCUUCAUGUGUGCCGGAGCGAGCACUUCUCCUACUAGCUUAUUGCGCUGCCACUGCCGCCGCCUCUAGUGCGUCUCUCUCCCCUCGCAUCUUUUCCCUCGCUUUCUGCUCACUGCUCUGCAUGGUGUUUGUUCGGCUGUACUUGUACUACACGCAUGCGUGUAGUACGAAGAAAAGGGCUGCUCGGGUUGUCUCUCCGCGUGUUUGUGUUUUUGUUGCCGUGUGGGCGAUAUAUCCGGCUUCGACACGAUGCACGCCCGCCCUUCCCCAUUUGAAGGACGCUCUCUUUCCUCCGUCACUGCGCCUCUCUCCUUGCUUAUGAUCUCGCUCUGUGUUUCCUGUCUUUCAAGUGAGUCUCUUCUUGGGCUCUCCCCCUUCUUUCCUUGUCCUUUGCGCAUGUUUGUCGCUCCCUUCCGUUUUGCUAUUUUGAAGGCAGCGAGCGGCGGCCGCGGCAUGCUGAGAUGAGGUGCGGCGUGUGUCUGUCUGUGCGCCUCUCUCUUCCCGUGUCUGUCGGUCCCCCACGGCUGCCCUCGUCUCCGCACACGAGUCUGCCGUGGCGGGAGUGCUGUACUGCGCCGUAG